rnacentral:tRNA from 1 species
GCAGUGAUGGCUCAGUGAUAGAAGUUCCCGCCUUCCAUGUGGGAGACCUAGGUUCGAUUCCCAGUCAAUGCA